UUUAAUGUUUUCAUUUGGUGGAAACUCAAUAGUCAUAGGUAUCCUACUCUUGCCCUACUAGCUCGUGAUGUAUUAGCGAUUCCUCCAUCCACAAUUGCUUCGGAAUCAGCUUUUAGCACCGAUGGUCGUGUGCUUGAUGCAUAUAGGAGUUCUUUAAUGCCUAAGAUGGUGCAAGCUCUUAUUUGUGCUCAAGAUUGGCUACGUGGACCUUUCUAUUAUCUUCAUGACACUGAGAAUGAUUUGGCAGAGCUUGAGAAAGUUGAUGAAGAGUUGUCAAAGAUUGCAGUGGACAAUGUACUUGAUAAUCUUUAAGGUUGCUGUUGAAAAUCCAACCCAAGCACCUGCCAUUGCACUUCCCUUUGUUGCACCACUCUUGUCUCCUACAUCUUUCCUUCCAUCUGAACCCCCCUCUGUUGUUGUUUUGUAUGUUUAAUUAUCAUGACAGUAAUGGUAGUUGUUAGUUGU
rnacentral:sRNA from 1 species